rnacentral:rRNA from 1 species
GACGAACGCUGGCGGCGUGCUUAACACAUGCAAGUCGAGCGGAAAGGCCCUUCGGGGUACUCGAACGGCGAACGGGUGAGUAACACGUGAGUAACCUGCCCCAGACUUUGGGAUAACCCUCGGAAACGGGGGCUAAUACCGGAUACGACACAGCUUCGCAUGGGGUCUGUGUGGAAAGUUUUUCGGUUUGGGAUGGGCUCGCGGCCUAUCAGCUUGUUGGUGGGGUGAUGGCCUACCAAGGCGACGACGGGUAGCCGGCCUGAGAGGGCGACCGGCCACACUGGGACUGAGACACGGCCCAGACUCCUACGGGAGGCAGCAGUGGGGAAUAUUGCACAAUGGGCGGAAGCCUGAUGCAGCGACGCCGCGUGAGGGAUGACGGCCUUCGGGUUGUAAACCUCUUUCAGCAGGGACGAAGCGUAAGUGACGGUACCUGCAGAAGAAGCGCCGGCCAACUACGUG